rnacentral:rRNA from 1 species
GACGAACGCUGGCGGCGUGCUUAACACAUGCAAGUCGAACGAAGUGGCGAACGGGUGAGUAACGCGUAAUCAACCUGCCCUUCAGAGGGGGACAACAGUUGGAAACGACUGCUAAUACCGCAUACUGAAGGAGGGGAUUGCGUAUGAUUAGGUAGUAGGUGGGGUAACGGCGCACCUAGGCGAAGAUCCCUAGCCGGGCUGAGAGGGUGAACGGCGAAAUUGGAACUGAGACACGGCCCAGACUCCUACGGGAGGCAGCAGUGGGGGAUCUUCCGCAAUGGAGGAAAGUCUGACGGAGCAACGCCGCGUGAGUGAUGACGGCCUUCGGGUUGUAAAGCUCUGUUAAUCGGGACGCGGUACCGGAAUAGAAAGCCACGGCUAACUACGUGCCAGCAGCCGCGGUAAUUC